UGGUCGUCUGUCAGCAUGGUAGAACGGCUGAGUACAAGCCUGCUGUGGAGUUCCGUACUACCCACACUUUCUC
rnacentral:lncRNA from 1 species